rnacentral:rRNA from 1 species
UGGGGAAUUUUGGACAAUGGGCGAAAGCCUGAUCCAGCAAUGCCGCGUGUGUGAAGAAGGCCUUCGGGUUGUAAAGCACUUUUGUCCGGAAAGAAAUCCUUGGCUCUAAUACAGUCGGGGGAUGACGGUACCGGAAGAAUAAGCACCGGCUAACUACGUGCCAGCAGCCGCGGUAAUACGUAGGGUGCAAGCGUUAAUCGGAAUUACUGGGCGUAAAGCGUGCGCAGGCGGUUUGCUAAGACCGAUGUGAAAUCCCCGGGCUCAACCUGGGAACUGCAUUGGUGACUGGCAGGCUAGAGUAUGGCAGAGGGGGGUAGAAUUCCACGUGUAGCAGUGAAAUGCGUAGAGAUGUGGAGGAAUACCGAUGGCGAAGGCAGCCCCCUGGGCCAAUACUGACGCUCGUGCACGAAAGCGUGGGGAGCAAAACAGGAUUAGAUACCCUGGUAGUCCACGCCCUAAACGAUGUCAACUAGUUGUUGGGGAUUCAUUUCCUUAGUAACGUAGCUAACGCGUGAAGUUGACCGCCUGGGGGAGUACGGUCGCAAGAUUAAAACUUAAAUGAAUUGACGGGGUCAUAGCUGUUUCCU